GCUGUGAGCUCGAUGAGUAGGGCGGGACACGUGGUAUCCUGUCUGAAUAUGGGGGGACCAUCCUCCAAGGCUAAAUACUCCUGACUGACCGAUAGUGAACCAGUACCGUGAGGGAAAGGCGAAAAGAACCCCGGCGAGGGGAGUGAAAAAGAACCUGAAACCGUGUACGUACAAGCAGUGGGAGCCCCACCACUAAGCCAGUGGUGAACUCCACAUCCGCAUCCUUUGCUGAGGAUACGGUUAACGGAGCGAAAGCGACGUUCAACCGCAAAACAAGCAGAGGGGGCUUAGUGGUGGGGUGACUGCGUACCUUUUGUAUAAUGGGUCAGCGACUUAUAUUCUGUAGCAAGGUUAACCGAAUAGGGGAGCCGGAGGGAAACCGAGUCUUAAUUGGGCGUUAAGUUGCAGGGUAUAGACCCGAAACCCGGUGAUCUAGCCAUGGGCAGGUUGAAGGUUGGGUAACACUAACUGGAGGACCGAACCGACUAAUGUUGAAAAAUUAGCGGAUGACCUGUGGCUGGGGGUGAAAGGCCAAUCAAACCGGGAGAUAGCUGGUUCUCCCCGAAAGCUAUUUAGGUAGCGCCUCGUGAAUUCAUCUCCGGGGGUAGAGCACUGUUUCGGCUAGGGGGCCAUCCCGGCUUACCAACCCGAUGCAAACUGCGAAUACCGGAGAAUGUUAUCACGGGAGACACACGGCGGGUGCUAACGUCCGUCGUGAAGAGGGAAACAACCCAGACCGCCAGCUAAGGUCCCAAAGUCAUGGUUAAGUGGGAAACGAUGUGGGAAGGCCCAGACAGCCAGGAUGUUGGCUUAGAAGCAGCCAUCAUUUAAAGAAAGCGUAAUAGCUCACUGGUCGAGUCGGCCUGCGCGGAAGAUGUAACGGGGCUAAACCAUGCACCGAAGCUGCGGCAGCGAACGUAUCACCCAAGACAACUUUACGGAGUUGACGAUUGACGGAGCGAAGCGACGUCAAAGCGUUCAUUAAAGUCGAGUUGGCUUAGGGAUACGUUCGUUGGGUAGGGGAGCGUUCUGUAAGCCUGUGAAGGUGUGUCGUGAGGC
rnacentral:rRNA from 1 species